AAGUCGUAACAAGGUUUCCGUAGGUGAACCUGCGGAAGGAUCAUUAAAGAGAGGAGCCCCGCGCUCCAGGGGGUUCGCCCCGCCUCUCAACCCCGUGAAAAUUAUACCUCUGUUGCUUUGGCGGGCCUUGGGGUCACGCUCAUGCCGGGCUCUCCAGCCCGGCGAGUGCCCGCCGGAAGCCUACCAAAAAUCGUUUAAACAAUGCUGUCAGAGUCUAAACACAAAUAAAGCAAAA
rnacentral:misc_RNA from 1 species